rnacentral:rRNA from 1 species
ACUCCUACGGGAGGCAGCAGUGGGGAAUAUUGCACAAUGGGGGAAACCCUGAUGCAGCCAUGCCGCGUGUGUGAAGAAGGCCUUCGGGUUGUAAAGCACUUCAGUAGGGAGGAAGGUAGUGUAGUUAACACCUGCACUAUUUGACGUUACCUACAGAAGAAGCACCGGCUAACUCCGUGCCAGCAGCCGCGGUAAUACGGAGGGUGCGAGCGUUAAUCGGAAUUACUGGGCGUAAAGCGCAUGCAGGCGGCCUGUUAAGUCAGAUGUGAAAGCCCGGGGCUUAACCUCGGAAUUGCAUUUGAAACUGGCAGGCUAGAGUCUUGUAGAGGGGGGUAGAAUUUCAGGUGUAGCGGUGAAAUGCGUAGAGAUCUGAAGGAAUACCAGUGGCGAAGGCGGCCCCCUGGACAAAGACUGACGCUCAGAUGCGAAAGCGUGGGGAGCAAACAGGAUUAGAUACCCUGGUAGCACAGAG